rnacentral:rRNA from 1 species
AGAGUUUGAUCCUGGCUCAGAUUGAACGCUGGCGGCAGGCCUAACACAUGCAAGUCGAGCGGUAACACAGAGAGCUUGCUCUCGGGUGACGAGCGGCGGACGGGUGAGUAAUGUCUGGGAAACUGCCUGAUGGAGGGGGAUAACUACUGGAAACGGUAGCUAAUACCGCAUAACGUCGCAAGACCAAAGUGGGGGACCUUCGGGCCUCAUGCCACCAGAUGUGCCCAGAUGGGAUUAGCUAGUACGUGGGGUAAUGGCUCACCUANGCGACGAUCCCUAGCUGGUCUGAGAGGAUGACCAGCCACACUGGAACUGAGACACGGUCCAGACUCCUACGGGAGGCAGCAGUGGGGAAUAUUGCACAAUGGGCGCAAGCCUGAUGCAGCCAUGCCGCGUGUAUGAAGAACGCCUUCGGGUUGUAAAGUACUUUCAGCGAGGAGGAAGGCAUUAAGGUUAAUAACCUUGGUGAUUGACGUUACUCGCAG